rnacentral:rRNA from 1 species
CCUACGGGAGGCAGCAGUGGGGGAUAUUGCACAAUGGGGGGAACCCUGAUGCAGCGACGCCGCGUGGGUGAAGGAGUGCUUCGGCAUGUAAAGCCCUAUCGGCAGGGAAGAAGCAAGACGGUACCUGACUAAGAAGCCCCGGCUAACUACGUGCCAGCAGCCGCGGUAAUACGUAGGGGGCGAGCGUUAUCCGGAUUCACUGGGUGUAAAGGGAGCGUAGACGGCCAUGCAAGCCAGGGGUGAAAGCCCGGGGCCCAACCCCGGGACUGCCCUUGGAACUGCAUGGCUGGAGUGCGGGAGGGGCAAGCGGAAUUUCGGGUGUAGCGGUGAAAUGCGUAGAUAUCAGGAGGAACACCGGCGGCGAAGGCGGCCUGGUGGACCGCGACUGACGUUGAGGCUCGAAAGCGUGGGGAGCGAACAGGAUUAGAUACCCGUGUAGUC